rnacentral:sRNA from 1 species
UGUCAACUGGUAGUUGAUACGGGCGCUUU